AACGAACGCUGGCGGCAUGCCUAACACAUGCAAGUCGAACGAGACCUUCGGGUCUAGUGGCGCACGGGUGCGUAACGCGUGGGAAUCUGCCCUGGGGUGCGGAAUAACUCGGAGAAAUCCGUGCUAAUACCGCAUAAUGUCUUCGGACCAAAGAUUUAUUGCCCUGGGAUGAGCCCGCGUAGGAUUAGCUUGUUGGUGAGGUAAAGGCUCACCAAGGCGACGAUCCUUAGCUGGUCUGAGAGGACGACCAGCCACACUGGGACUGAGACACGGCCCAGACUCCUACGGGAGGCAGCAGUGGGGAAUAUUGGACAAUGGGCGCAAGCCUGAUCCAGCCAUGCCGCGUGAGUGAUGAAGGCCUUAGGGUUGUAAAGCUCUUUUGCCGGGGACGAUAAUGACGGUACCCGGAGAAUAAGUCCCGGCUAACUUCGUGCCAGCAGCCGCGGUAAU
rnacentral:rRNA from 1 species